GUUUGGAUGGUUCAGUGGUAGAAUUCUCACCUUUCAUGUGGGAGACUCGGGUUUGAUACCCAGUCAAUGCA
rnacentral:tRNA from 1 species